ACGCGGAGGUCCAGGCUGUGGCCCCUUAGGCCGCACAGUGGGAGAGCCUCACUUUUGUUCACAGUGCUGAGGUGUGCAGGACAGAGCAGCCUCGGGGCGCGUCGUGUCACUUGUCCGUCGUGCCUUCUGUGUCUUUUGUGCCUCUUGUGUUGUACGUGCCUUGCCCUAUCUCUUCUGGGGGCUUACCAGAAACCCCAGCAUCACUUAUAGCAUCUCCAAUCUCUGGGCUCCUCGGCUCGGCUGCUCUCAGAGGCCUUGGAAUCGCGUCUCUUUUGAAAAGCAUCCGAUCGGAUGUCUUUUAGAUGUUUUCUUCCGAGCUGUGUCAACAGCCGUGCGCCGCGAGGAUCCAUUGUUGCGGCUUAGGACUUGAAGAAACGCAAAGAUAGGUAGGGGACUGCGGCCCUAAGAUUCUUGAGCAUCUGUCUUGGCAGUUCCUGGAGUUAAUUGUUCCAUCAGCAUCUUCUUCCUCCCGGGUUCUGUGAGCUUCAUCAGCUCGCCUUCAUUCUCACCCGGCUCAUCUCGUUCCGCAUUCUCUCAGUCCUUGCGGCCGUCCUUGUGGCCCAGAGUUUUGUCUCCCCAUUGUGUCCCCUCGUCGGGUGUCUGGUGUGUCACGGGUGUCUGGGUGUAGUUGUCCCGGAGCUGCUCUGCCCUGCUGCCCAGCCUGGCUGUAGGUGUACAAGGCCAAGUCCCAGGCCCCUGUAAUUUGAACUUUGUGAUGUAGGGUGUAGUUGGGGUCUAGAACAUAUCCCUAGAUCAACACAAGAUGUCUGGAGCUGUGAAGUUACCCUGCAGCGCUUUGACUUUUGUCUCAGCUCUCUUUCAGAUGCGGACGGAUGAAAUCGGUGGCAGAGCGCCCCAUCCAGGGUAAGGGGGUUCCCCCGAGAAGGAAAUAGAGCCAGCUAGCAGCAGUCAAGGUGAAGUGGGCAAGGCGGUCCAGUCGCGUUUCGUCGAGACCCCGUCGCCAGCCGGCCGGCACGCCUGCUUCGCCGCUCCCGUGAGCCCUGCGGAAGCGUCACAGGGACCGCGUGACGGAGCCUUUUCCACGUAAAGGGGCCGUGUGGCUGGCCUUCAGGAAGGGGCCGAGGGCUUCCCGCGCGCCCUGCGACGACGCUGCCUGGUCCCGGCGUGGCCGUAUCGUGCGGCCUCAGGACACGGCCGUUCACAGGAGACCCUGACGGAGAGACGACAGCCUGGCGAUGGCAGGAACUUCCCGGAUAGCCAGGUGGCCUUCCUUGGCUCUCCGUGUGGAUCCUCCCCAGC